rnacentral:rRNA from 1 species
GAUGAACGCUGGCGGCGUGCCUAAUACAUGCAAGUCGAGCGAACGGACGAGAAGCUUGCUUCUCUGAUGUUAGCGGCGGACGGGUGAGUAACACGUGGAUAACCUACCUAUAAGACUGGGAUAAAUUCGGGAAACCGGAGCUAAUACCGGAUAAUAUUUUGAACCGCAUGGUUCAAAAGUGAAAGACGGUCUUGCUGUCACUUAUAGAUGGAUCCGCGCUGCAUUAGCUAGUUGGUAAGGUAACGGCUUACCAAGGCAACGUUGCAUAGCCGACCUGAGAGGGUGAUCGGCCACACUGGAACUGAGACACGGUCCAGACUCCUACGGGAGGCAGCAGUAGGGAAUCUUCCGCAAUGGGCGAAAGCCUGACGGAGCAACGCCGCGUGAGUGAUGAAGGUCUUCGGAUCGUAAAACUCUGUUAUUAGGGAAGAACAUAUGUGUAAGUAACUGUGCACAUCUUGACGGUACCUAAUCAGAAAGCCACGGCUAACUACGUG